rnacentral:sRNA from 1 species
AUGGCUGGGUUUGCUAAUCGCUGGAUGAAAUUUGGGGGUUGAGGGACCCAGGAGAUGGGGCUUGGUGGGGUUUUGUCCCCCCCCCCUCCCCCCAUCCAUCAGGCCAGGGCUUUUUCCUGGGAUGGGGGGGGUUCUGGAGGGCUCGAUUCUCGAUUAUCGAUGCGUUGGACCCAGGUUAACGAACUACAGCGUACAGAGUAGUUACGUGGUUUUGAACGAGGCUAGCAAAAAAGCGGUUGGGCGUUGGUCCGAAACCUAGCAGCGGGUAGCAUAUGCUGGCAUUCCAAUGACAAUGAAGGAACAAGAUUCUACUCCGUACUUGCGUUGAAGAAGGUAUAGAAAAGGGGGCCUAAACUCUAUCCAUAUUGAUGCUUCAGCUUUUGCCUUGGUUGGAAUAUUUUGAUCUUUCAUUCUCAACCACCGGUAGUUGACCGAGUCGGCUUUCGGCGUUUCCCCUUAGUGUUGAGAACCUAAGGAUAUAUUAUAGUCUCCUGCUGAGCAAAAUAUUGGAGUGUUGAAUAGUGAUCCGUAGAUGACUUUCUGG